UUUUUAAUGGUUGACCUCGGAUCAGGUAGGAAUACCCGCUGAACUUAAGCAUAUCAAUAAGGCGGGAGGAA
rnacentral:rRNA from 1 species